rnacentral:lncRNA from 1 species
ACUCAUAAUUAACUGAUUUUAAUCCAAACCAGGUCAAGAGAUCUCACAUAGCUAAACAAGUCUAAUGUCCUAAAAACAAAUCUAUGCUGGUCAUACAUAGCACUGCCAAGUAAAAUGUCAUCUGUCAUUGGAAAAGGGAAGAAGAGCUGCCUGCCAUCAAAAAAUCUUCAUUAAAUGGCCUGCAGAUGUGAAAUUAAAAAUAAAAUGCCACAGAAUAGAAGUGUGAAAAAAGAAAAACUACAGAAGAAGAAACUGUAAUCUGAGUGGGAAAUAAUUCUUCACACACAAUCAUAUUGAAUUGCUGCAGCACCACAAUUCAAAAGGAAAUAGCAAAAGGGUAAAUUAAGAAAUGGACUGUAAGGUCACUCAUUCAAACUGGCUACAACAUUUUUUUUUUCAUCUCCUGCAGCAAAGCAACUGCUAUGCACUAUAAUGGUCUUGGAUACCAAGUACUACCCCUCUUCCCCACAAAUAAAAGGAGAAAAGACACUGAGCCUGAUCUUCUAAAUAGAAUACUGCAAAUAAAGGCUACGACUCAGAUAUUGGGACCUCCUCAGUCAGUGAGUUCCACUGCUGGGAAUUAAGGCAAAUGUGGUGCUUGGGUUAAAUAUUUCACUGUUGUUACUUGGGCUUUUUCAAAAAAGCAGACAGGGAAAUGAAAUCUAAGAAAGCAAACAAAAGUGCUUG